CUUCUGAAAGAACUCCAGGAUGUGCAGGAGAAUGACCAGCUGCAUCUGGAACCAUGGAGCUCUUUGUCACUGGGAGAGAGGAUCCUCUCCGUCCACCCAAACACAUGAAGAUAAUCACGGAUGGAGCACAGUUUGUUUUCUGGACGUGGGUCCCUGGUGCUGCC